UUCAGUACCGCUUGCCAUGCGGUAGUAGAGAGAACAGUCUAUGGCUGGGGUCUUUGACAAUUUUUAGGGCAAAUAUGGAUUGACCAACCUCAGGUGGAAGGUUGGCCUACCUCAGGUGGAAGGUUGGCCUACCUCAGGUGGAAGGUUGCCCCUGACUGAGGUGGAAGGCUGCCCCUGACUGAGGUGGAAGGUUGCCCCUGACUGAGGUGGAAGGUUGCCCUUCCACACUCUGACAAGAACAACUUAGACAAUCCUGACUACUACACAGGGUGCGGCUUAGGGGCCGGUAGGUCUGGCGGUGAGGGGCCGGUAGGUCUGGCGGUGAGGGGCCGGUAGGUCUGGCGGUGAGGGGCCGGUGUCGGCCUUAUCAUAUUAAAAUAAAAGUGAUUUUAAAAAUUCUCAAUUUACAAUUACAUUCAGCAUCAAAUGGUGGAUGAUAUAGGUUCUCAGAACUGUAAUGAAUGACUAUUAUAAUAGGAUUGAACUGUAAUGAGUGACUAUAAUAAUAGGAUUGAACUGUAAUGAGUGACUAUAAUAAUAGGAUUGAACUGUAAUGAGUGACUAUAAUAAUAGGAUUGAACUGUAAUGAGUGACUAUAAUAAUAGGAUUGAACUGUAAUGAGUGACUAUAAUAAUAAGAUUGAACUGUAAUGAGUGACUAUAAUAAUAAGAUUGAACUGUAAUGAGUGACUAUAAUAAUAGGAUUGAACUGUAAUGAAUGACUAAUUAUAAUAAUAGGACUGAACUGUAAUGAGUGACUAUAAUAAUAAGAUUGAACUGUAAUGAGUGACUAUAAUAAUAAGAUUGAACUGUAAUGAGUGACUAUAAUAAUAGGAUUGAACUGUAAUGAAUGACUAAUUAUAAUAAUAGGACUGAACUGUAAUGAGUGACUAUAAUAAUAGGAUUGAACUGUAAUGAGUGACUAUAAUAAUAGGAUUGAACUGUAAUGAGUGACUAUAAUAAUAAGAUUGAACUGUAAUGAGUGACUAUAAUAAUAGGAUUGAACUGUAAUGAGUGACUAUAAUAAUAGUAUGGAACUGUAAUGAGUGACUAUAAUAAUAGGAUUGAACUGUAAUGAGUGACUAUAAUAAUAGGAUUGAACUGUAAUGAGUGACUAUAAUAAUAGGAUUGAACUGUAAUGAGUGACUAUAAUAAUAGGAUUGAACUGUAAUGAGUGACUAUAAUAAUAAGAUUGAACUGUAAUGAAUGACUAU